AGUCGAGCGGAACGAUGGUAGCUUGCUACCAGGCGUCGAGCGGCGGACGGGUGAGUAAUGCUUAGGAAUCUGCCUAGUAGUGGGGGAUAGCCCGGGGAAACUCGGAUUAAUACCGCAUACGCCCUACGGGGGAAAGCAGGGGAUCCGCUCUUCGGAGAGGACCUUGCGCUAUUAGAUGAGCCUAAGUCGGAUUAGCUUGUUGGUGGGGUAAUGGCCUACCAAGGCAACGAUCCGUAGCUGGUCUGAGAGGAUGAUCAGCCACAUCGGGACUGAGACACGGCCCGAACUCCUACGGGAGGCAGCAGUGGGGAAUAUUGGACAAUGGGCGCAAGCCUGAUCCAGCCAUGCCGCGUGUGUGAAGAAGGCUUUCGGGUUGUAAAGCACUUUCAGCGAGGAGGAAGGCCUUAAGAUUAAUACGCUUGAGGAUUGACGUCACUCGCAGAAGAAGCACCGGCUAACUCCGUGCCAGCAGCCGCGGUAAUACGGAGGGUGCAAGCGUUAAUCGGAAUUACUGGGCGUAAAGCGCGCGUAGGUGGUUAUGUAAGCGAGAUGUGAAAGCCCCGGGCUCAACCUGGGAACG
rnacentral:rRNA from 1 species